UGGCACAUCUGCAAAAAUGAAUAACCUUCAGGACAUUGUUUGAGCAAAGCCUCGCUGAGCGGUUUGUUCAGGCAGUAGGUGAUGUAAAUUUGAAAGUGAUCAGUGUGGUCGAGAAACGUUCUGGCGAUAUUUCUGACGUUACUUUCGGCGUUUCAGAGCCGGCAGAAAUAUUUCACUGUGGAAAUUGUAAAUUUGGUGCAAAUUCCCGAACAGCACUUUCUGCUUGGACAGCAGAUUGUUGGGAACGUGACGGCGCAGUGUGGUGCCGUUGAAUAGUCGCACUGUUCUCUCUUUCUCUUCGGGGUUGGAGGAACAAUUGUCGAUCAGUCGGUUUCGGAGCGUGCACACUGGUACCCGAAAGAUGGUGAACUAUGCUUGAGCAGAAUGAAGCCAGAGGAAACUCUGGUGGAAGUUCGUAGCGGUGUUGACGUGCAAAUCACUCGUCUGACUUGAGUGUAGGGGCGAAAGACUAAUCGAACCAUCUAGUUGCUGGUUCCUUCCGAAGUUUCCCUCAGGAUAGCUGGCAUUUGUUUGUAACAAUUUUAUCCGGUAGAGCGAAUGAUUAGAGGUGUUGGGAACGCAAUGUUCUCAGCCUAUUCUCAAACUUCGAAUGGGUAAGCAAGGCGUUUUGCUUUGAUUUUACGAUGAAAUCGCCCAAUUAGAAGAAUGUAUAAAUGCCUAGUGGGCCAAUUUUGGUAAGCAGAACUGGCGAUGUGGAAUGAACCAAAAGUCAGGUUAAGGUGCCAGACAUUGGCGCUCAUGAAAUACCAGAAAAGGUGUUGGUCGAUAUAGACAGCAGGACGGUGGCCAUGGAAGUUGGAAUCCGCCAAGGAGUGUGUAACAACUCACCUGCCGAAUCGACUAGCCCUGAAAAUGGAUAGCGUUUGAGCUCCAGGCCCAUACCUGACCGUCUCAAUUACGCACCCUUUUUUCGGAAAAGGUGUAAUGCACGUUGAGACGGGUAGGAAGGUCGCGACAGUGUUGCUUUGAAGAGUUUUGAGCGUGAGCUCGCUCGGAGCCGCUGUCGGUGCAGAUCUUGGUGGUAGUAGCAAAUAUUCAAGUGAGAACCUUGAAGGCUGAAGUGGAGCAAGGUUCCAUGUGAACAGCAGUUGGACAUGGGUCAGUCGAUCCUAAGAAAACGGCGAAAGCUUUUUCGAAUUUGCGACAUGAAUUGUAAGACUGUGAAUAAUUGUGUGCGUGUGUUUGCCAAUUAUUAAUUGUUGUGCGCAGUUGUCGUAUGUUUUCGAAAGGGAAUCCGGUUGAUAUUCCGGAACCGAGUAACGGAGACAAAGAGUAGCGCUUUAAUCUCUCUCUCUCUGUGGGGUUGGCGUUCAACUCAAUCGCGCGGUAACGCGAGCGAACUCGGAAAAUGACCGUCGUGAGUUUCGAAAAGAGUUUUCUUUUCUUUUUAAGGGACGCAUUCCCUGGAACCGGGUUGUCCGGAGAUAGGGAUUUUGGUAUCCAUAAAACGCCGACUUUUUCACGGUGUUCGGAGCGCUCUCGUCGGUACGUGAAAAUCCGAGCGACGCCUGGUAAAUCUCGUACUUGGUCGUACUGAUAUCCGCAGCAGGUCUCCAAGGUGAAUAGCCUCUGGCCGAUAGAAUAAUGUAGGUAAGGGAAGUCGGCAAAACGGAUCCGUAACUUCGGAACAAGGAUUGGCUCUAAGGGCUGGGCCGAUCGGGCUGAGGUUUCAAGCGUGCAGUGUAUGCUUGGCUUAGUUGUGUUGAGGACUUGUUCACUUGCCACCGUUUGUUCGGUUGGUCGAGUGUAUUCGAGUCUGAAGCAGAGCUGGCCGUCAGACCGGCACGUGUAGAACCUGAGCUGCGCGGCUGUCCGUUUUCGUGUACAGACCGUUUCGGUCGGCAUUCAACAGCCAACUUAGAACUGGCACGGACACAAGGAAUCUGACUGUAUAAUUAAAACAAAGCAUUGCGAUGGCCGAUGAUCGGUGAUGACGCAAUGUGAUUUCUGCCCAGUGCUCUGAAUGUCAAAGUGAAGAAAUUCAAUCAAGCGCGGGUAAACGGCGGGAGUAACUAUGACUCUCUUAAGGUAGCCAAAUGCCUCGUCAUCUAAUUAGUGACGCGUAUGAAUGGAUCAACAAGAUUCCUUCUGUCCCUAUCUACUAUCUAGCGAAACCACAGCCAAGGGAACGGGCUUGGCAAAAUCAGCGGGGAAAGAAGACCCUGUUGAGCUUGACUCUAGUCUGACUCUGUGAAGAGACAUGAAAGGUGUAGCAUAGGUGGGAGAUUGUCAAUUUGCCAUCGUUCGCGCGAUGGUCCCGGUGAUCGCCAAUGAAAUACCACUACUUUGAUCGUUUCUUUACUUAUUCGGUAAAGCGAAAAAAUUGUGGCCAAUUUGGCGGUGUUUAUGUCGCUGUUGGUCAUUGUUUUCAUGUUGGAUUGAAGCUUUGUUUUGAGCCGUCGCUUUGUGUCUUCAUUUGACGCAUUGUUGGCUGGGUUAGUAGCCCAGUGUGUGAUGUUGUCAGAAUGGAUGAUCGGCGAUAGGUUUGAAGUGAUUCGCUCCGGAAACAGUGUCAGACGGGGAGUUUGACUGGGGCGGUACAUCUGUAAAACGAUAACGCAGGUGUCCUAAGGUAAGCUCAGCGAGGACAGAAACCUCGCCUAGAGUAAACGGGCACAAGCUUACUUGAUUUUGAUUUUCAGUAUGAAUAGAAACCGCGAAAGCGUGGCCUAUCGAUCCUUUUGAUUGUGUAGAUUUCAUGCAAGAGGUGUCAGAAAAGUUACCACAGGGAUAACUGGCUUGUGGCAGCCAAGCGUCCAUAGCGACGUUGCUUUUUGAUCCUUCGAUGUCGGCUCUUCCUAUCAUUGCGAAGCAGAAUUCGCCAAGCGUUGGAUUGUUCACCCACCAAUAGGGAACGUGAGCUGGGAUUAGACCGUCGUGAGACAGGUUAGUUUUACCCUACUGAUGACAAGUCGUUGCGAUAGUAAUCCUGCUCAGUACGAGAGGAACCGCGGGAUCAGACAUUUGGUUCAUGCGCUCGGCUGAAAGGCCGGUGGCGCGAAGCUAGCAUCUGCAAGAUUAUGACUGAACGCCUCUAAGUCAGAAUCUUUUCUAGUCAUUGGCAACGAUAAGUUGCGUCCAGACUCGAUGCGAGGAAACGAUUAGGCUUUGUUGCUAUACAACGAAGCCAUUAUCAGACCACGGUAGCAGGCAGUAUGGGAUUGUUACGAAAAAGCAAUUUUUUGAAGUCAGUUGAAUUCAAUGAAACUGCUAACAAUUUCACUGCGAAUGACUCCAUU
rnacentral:rRNA from 1 species